GAGUUUGAUCGUGGCUCAGAUUGAACGCUGGCGGCAUGCCUUACACAUGCAAGUCGAACGGCAGCAUGAUCUAGCUUGCUAGAUUGAUGGCGAGUGGCGAACGGGUGAGUAAUACAUCGGAACGUGCCCUGUAGUGGGGGAUAACUAGUCGAAAGAUUAGCUAAUACCGCAUACGACCUGAGGGUGAAAGUGGGGGACCGCAAGGCCUCAUGCUAUAGGAGCGGCCGAUGUCUGAUUAGCUAGUUGGUGGGGUAAAGGCCCACCAAGGCGACGAUCAGUAGCUGGUCUGAGAGGACGAUCAGCCACACUGGGACUGAGACACGGCCCAGACUCCUACGGGAGGCAGCAGUGGGGAAUUUUGGACAAUGGGCGAAAGCCUGAUCCAGCAAAUGCCGCGUGUGUGAAGAAGGCC
rnacentral:rRNA from 1 species